GACGAACGCUGGCGGCGUGCCUAAUACAUGCAAGUCGAACGCUUCUUUCCUCCCGAGUGCUUGCACUCAAUUGGAAAGAGGAGUGGCGGACGAGUGAGUAACACGUGGGUAACCUACCCAUCAGAGGGGGAUAACACUUGGAAACAGGUGCUAAUACCGCAUAACAGUUUAUGCCGCAUGGCAUAAGAGUGAAAGGCGCUUUCGGGUGUCGUUGAUGGAUGGACCCGCGGUGCAUUAGCUAGUUGGUGAGGUAACGGCUCACCAAGGCCACGAUGCAUAGCCGACCUGAGAGGGUGAUCGGCCACACUGGGACUGAGACACGGCCCAGACUCCUACGGGAGGCAGCAGUAGGGAAUCUUCGGCAAUGGACGAAAGUCUGACCGAGCAACGCCGCGUGAGUGAAGAAGGUUUUCGGAUCGUAAAACUCUGUUGUUAGAGAAGAACAAGGACGUUAGUAACUGAACGUCCCCUGACGGUAUCUAACCAGAAAGCCACGGCUAACUACGUG
rnacentral:rRNA from 1 species